rnacentral:tRNA from 1 species
GGGGGUACAGCUCAGUGGUAGAGCACAUGCUUAGCGUGCACGAGGUCCUAGGUUCAAUCCUCAGGACCUCCA